rnacentral:hammerhead_ribozyme from 15 species
AACUGGUCAGGAGCUAAUGCCGCUCUCCUGACGAGACCAUGGCAGGUCGAAACUAGUU